rnacentral:rRNA from 1 species
CUACGGGAGGCAGCAGUGGGGAAUAUUGGACAAUGGGCGCAAGCCUGAUCCAGCCAUGCCGCGUGGGUGAUGAAGGCCUUCGGGUUGUAAAGCCCUUUCGCCGGUGACGAUGAUGACGGUAGCCGGAGAAGAAGCCCCGGCCAACUCCGUGCCAGCAGCCGCGGUAAGACGGAGGGGGCGAGCGUUGUUCGGAAUGACUGGGCGUAAAGGGCGCGCAGGCGGCACGUCGCGUCGGGGGUGAAAGCCCCGGGCUCAACCCGGGAACUGCCCCCGAAACGGGCGAGCUUGACGCCGAGAGAGGGGGGUGGAAUUCCCAGUGUAGAGGUGAAAUUCGUAGAUAUUGGGAAGAACACCGAUGGCGAAGGCAGCCCCCUGGCUCGGCCGUGACGCUGAGGCGCGACAGCGUGGGGAGCAAACAGGAUUAGAAACCCGGGUAGUCC